rnacentral:rRNA from 1 species
CCUACGGGAGGCAGCAGUGGGGAAUAUUGCUCAAUGGGGGAAACCCUGAUGCAGCGACGCCGCGUGAGUGAAGAAGUAUUUCGGUAUGUAAAGCUCUAUUAGCAGGGAAGAAAAUGACGGUACCUGACUAAGAAGCCCCGGCUAACUACGUGCCAGCAGCCGCGGUAAUACGCAGGGGGCAAGCGUUAUCCGGAUUUACUGGGCGUAAAGGGAGCGUAGUCGGCAGGGCAAGUCAGAAGUGAAAUCCCAUGGCUUAACCAUGGAACUGCUUUUGAAACUGUGCGUCUGGAGUGCGGGAGAGGUAAGCGGAAUGCGUGGUGUAGCGGUGAAAUGCGUAGAUAUUAGGAGGAACACCGAUGGCGAAGGCGGCUUGCUGGACCGUAACUGACGUUGAGGCACGAAAGCGUGGGGAGCAAACAGGAUUAGAUACCCUAGUAGUC